AAAGUUACAUUGGUUGGAUGG
rnacentral:siRNA from 1 species